UAAACUGCUUGGGAAACUGAUAGUCUAGAGUGAGGGAGAGGCAGAUGGAAUUGGUGGUGUAGGGGUAAAAUCCGUAGAUAUCACCAAGAAUACCCAUUGCGAAGGCGAUCUGCUGGAACUCAACUGACGCUAAGGCGCGAAAGCGUGGGGAGCAAACAGGAUUAGAUACCCUGGUAGUCCACGCCCUAAACGAUGUACACUAGUUGUUGGGGUGCUAGUCAUCUCAGUAAUGCAGCUAACGCAUUAAGUGUACCGCCUGGGGAGUACGGUCGCAAGAUUAAAACUCAAAGGAAUAGACGGGGACCCGCACAAGCGGUGGAGCAUGUGGUUUAAUUCGAAGAUACGCGAAGAACCUUACCUGGGCUUGAUAUCCUAAGAACCUUUUAGAGAUAAGAGGGUGCUAGCUUGCUAGAACUUAGAGACAGGUGCUGCACGGCUGUCGUCAGCUCGUGUCGUGAGAUGUUGGGUUAAGUCCCGCAACGAGCGCAACCCACGUAUUUAGUUGCUAACGGUUCGGCCGAGCACUCUAAAUAGACUGCCUUCGUAAGGAGGAGGAAGGUGUGGACGACGUCAAGUCAUCAUGGCCCUUAUGCCCAGGGCGACACACGUGCUACAAUGGCAUAUACAAUGAGACGCAAUACCGCGAGGUGGAGCAAAUCUAUAAAAUAUGUCCCAGUUCGGAUUGUUCUCUGCAACUCGAGAGCAUGAAGCCGGAAUCGCUAGUAAUCGUAGAUCAGCCAUGCUACGGUGAAUACGUUCCCGGGUCUUGUACUCACCGCCCGUCACACCAUGGGAGUUGAUUUCACUCGAAGCCGGAAUACUAAACUAGUU
rnacentral:rRNA from 1 species